AUUGAACGCUGGCGGCAGGCCUAACACAUGCAAGUCGAGCGGCUGAAGGGAGCUUGCUCCUGGAUUCAGCGGCGGACGGGUGAGUAAUGCCUAGGAAUCUGCCUGGUAGUGGGGGAUAACGUCCGGAAACGGGCGCUAAUACCGCAUACGUCCUGAGGGAGAAAGUGGGGGAUCUUCGGACCUCACGCUAUCAGAUGAGCCUAGGUCGGAUUAGCUAGUUGGUGGGGUAAAGGCCUACCAAGGCGACGAUCCGUAACUGGUCUGAGAGGAUGAUCAGUCACACUGGAACUGAGACACGGUCCAGACUCCUACGGGAGGCAGCAGUGGGGAAUAUUGGACGAUGGGCGAAAGCCGGAUCCAGCCAUGCCGCGUGUGGGAAGAAGGUCUUCGGAUUGUAAAGCACUUUAAGUUGGGAGGAAGGGCAGUAAGUUAAUACCUGGCGGUUUUGACGUUACCAACAGAAUAAGCACCGGCUAACUUCGUG
rnacentral:rRNA from 1 species